rnacentral:rRNA from 1 species
UGAGACACGGUCCAGACUCCUACGGGAGGCAGCAGUGGGGAAUAUUGCACAAUGGGGGAAAGCCUGAUGCAGCCAUGCCGCGUGUGUGAAGAAGGUCUUCGGGUUGUAAAGCACUUUCAGCGAGGAGGAAAGGCUAGUAGUUAAUACCUUCUAGUUGUGACGUUACUAGCAGAAGAAGCACCGGCUAACUUCGUGCCAGCAGCCGCGGUAAUACGGAGGGUGCGAGCGUUAAUCGGAAUUACUGGGCGUAAAGCGUGCGCAGGCGGUUUAUCAAGCGAGAUGUGAAAUCCCCGGGCUCAACCUGGGAACCGCAUUUAAAACUGGCAAACUAGAGUCUGGUAGAGGGGGGUGGAAUUUCAGGUGUAGCGGUGAAAUGCGUAGAGAUAUGGAGGAACACCGGUGGCGAAGGCGGCCCCCUGGACAAAGACUGACACUCAGGCGCGAAAGCGUGGGGAGCAAACAGGAUUAGAUACCCUGGUAGUCCACGCCGUAAACGAUGUCUACUCGCAGUUGGGAUUCUUGAACUCUGGGCUCUCCAGCUAACGCAUUAAGUAGACCGCCUGGGGAGUACGGCCGCAAGGUUAAAACUCAAAUGAAUUGACGGGGGCCCGCACAAGCGGUGGAGCAUGUGGUUUAAUUCG